CCGAAGUUUCUCUCAGGAUAGCUGGGACGGGCGCUGUUUCCGAACGGCUUGUGAUCCCACAGUGAGGCGCAUCAGCAAUGGAGUUUCGUCCGGUAAAGCGAAUGACUAGAGGCACGCGGGGGUGCAAGGCCCUCGCACUAUUCUCAAACUUUAAAUGGGCGAGAACCCCGGCAUUCGUGCUCGAUGCACGGGGCGUCCAACGCGGCCAGCACCAAUGCGCUCCCUGUGCCAACGGACUCUAGACUCUCCUGCAUGCUGUUGUCUGCUUCUGCUCUCUAUGGUUUGUGGUGUGACUCAGGUCUAGUACGAAUCAUCCCGAUCCUCAGUGGGUCAUUUCUGGUAAGCAGGACUGAUAAUGAGGGAUGAACCUAACGUUGUGCUAAGGGGCCUAAACGAUAGCUAUCUCUUGAUACCAUUGGAAGGGUGCUGCUGGCUGAAGACAGCAGGACGGUGGUCAUGGAAGUCGACAUCCGCUAAGUAGUGUGUAACAACUAAUCCUGCCGAAGCGAGCAACCCUGAAAAUGGAUGGCACUCAAGCUCUCUCCCGAUGCACAACCGUCGGUGGCAAUAAAGGCUUCAGAAUGAACUGUCAGAACUAUAAGUCUCAAAGCCCCGACGAGUAGGGUGGCGUGCCGGUAAGCUUUGAAGGCCAAGACGUGAGUCAGGCUGGAGCUGCCGGUAAUGCAGAUCUUGGUGGUAGUAGCAAGUACUCUGGUGAACAACCUGGAGCUGUGAGGCUUGGACAAGGGUUCCAUGUCAACAGUGAUUGAACAUGGGUGAGUCGUACCUAAGCCAACUGUGAAAGCAGUGACAUCCCGUCAAGGGCAUUGCACGCGAAAACUCUGCAAAAGCAAAUGAUACAGCAAAGUCUCUCAGUGAUGUUGUUGAACGAAAGCACAAACUCUGUUUCUUGCUUAACUGCUUGAUGACACGAGGGUUAUCAGAGUACCUUCUAAUGCAAGUAGUUCACACACACAAAGACGAAAUGUGACGCAAUCAGACCGGGUAUGAGAGACUGUCGCUGAUGCUUGCGCUUGGUGUGAGUAGCGUGUUCUAAGCUCGAGAUUGGUUUUAAUGUCUGGCGAAAGGGAACGGGGACUUUGUUCCCUGACCGGUCCCGGCACCCUCGAUGGCUUCCGCCAAUCACCGGUCGGAGUAAUCCGAACCAGGCCACAGCCGCCGGCAGCCGCCCAAGGAAGAGUUUUCUUUUCUGCUUAACGCACGAGGUCAUCCCUGGCAGCAGUUCGGCUGGCGACAGGGUGUCCCGUUGCGGCAGAGCGCCACGACUGUCGUGUGCGUCUUGGUGUUUCUGCUGGUCCGUGAAAACGUGGUCGAGGGGAUCUAGCAAUGGACUUGUAGUCAAAAACGUAGACUCUCUUGCACACUUGUGUGUGAGGGAGCUUCUGCUAAAACGCCCGACAAGUUCGGGACUGACCGUACCCUAUAUCCGCAUCCGGUAUCCAAGGUUCGUAGCCUCUGCAGUCCCAGACACAUGUAGGUAAGGGAAGUCGGCAAACUCGAUCCGUAACUUCGGGAUAAGGAUUGGCUCUGAGGGCCGAGCUGGGCCGGGCUUGCUUGCAACGCAGUACCUAUAGUGACCGGAGUUUAAGGAGUGUACGGGGCCUAAGUAAGGUCGCUCUCCUUCACGGGAGUUGAGGCACGAACGGGUCUACUGCUCCGCUCCAACCACGAACGGCUGUGACGGCAGGUCUCUGGUCGGGUGCACAUCCAAAUGUUGGCCUCCAGCAUGUCUGGUUGGCGGCAGUGCAUCUCGUCCGACGGCUCCAGCGACUAGCGGCUAACUCAGAACUGUCAUGGACCAAGGGAAUCCGACUGUCUAAUUAAAACAAAGCGUUGUGACGGCCCCUGUUGGGUGUUGACGCAACGUGAUUUCUGCCCAGUGCUCUGAAUGUCAAAGUGAAGAAAUUCACCGAAGCGCGGGUUAACGGCGGGUGUAACUAUGACUCUCUUAAGGUAGCCAAAUGCCUCGUCAUCUAAUUAGUGACGCGCAUGAAUGGAUUAACGAGAUUCCCACUGUCCCUAUCUACCGUCUGGUGAACCAACAGGCAAGGGAACGGACUUGCAUGAACACAGCGGGGAAAGAAGACCCUGUUGAGCUUGACUCUAGUCUGAAUCUGUACGGAGACAUCGGAGGUGCAGCAUAAGUGGGAGGGCCAGGUUGCUUCGGCGGCCACCGAACCGUGAGAUACCACUACUCCCUUCGUCUCCGUACUCCACUCGGUUAUCGGGAGCAAAUACAAAGUGAAUGACGGCGUCUGGAUGCUUCGUGGUUGAGUGCGGCGCGGUGUCUUUGCGUUCUCGUUUGCGGGCCUUCGCGGGUUCGUGGGCGUUUGCGUGGAGCCCGUGUUCUCUCUUCCACACCAAAGGGGCUCCUGCCUCAUCCUGCUGAGGACAGAUUCAGGUGGGGAGUUUGACUGGGGCGGUACAUCUGUCAAACGAUAACGCAGGUGUCCUAAGGCCAGCUCAACGAGAUCAGAAAUCUCGUGUAGAGCAUAAGGGCCUAUGCUGGCUUGAUCCAGACUUUCAGUAUGAGUACGGACGGUGAAAGCCAGGCCUAUCGAUCCUUUUGACGUUACUGAGUUUAUAGCAAGAGGUAUCAGAAAAGUUACCACAGGGAUAACUGGCUUGUGGCGGCCAAGCGUCCUUAGCGACGUCGCUUUUUGAUCCUUCGAUGUCGGCUCUUCCUAUCAUUGAGUUGCAACCGUCGCCAAGCGUCGGAUUGUUCACCCAUAUCAGGGAACGUGAGCUGGGUUUAGACCGUCGCGAGACAGGUUAGUUUUACCCUCCUGUGGUCUGAAGCUUUUGACUGAGUUCUAAGCUUGUCGUGUCGCUAUGGAAGUUGUGGCCAGUACGAGAGGAACGUCACAACCGAACCUCUGGUCCCGGACUCGGCCGAGAGGCCGGUGGUCCCAGGCUACGUUCGUACAAGUAAGGCCGAACGCCUCUUAAGCCUGAAACCAUUCCAGAACAUGAGCGAUGCUAUUUGCAGUUGGCCUCUACGCUACGCGCUUGCGCGUGUGUGGCAUCGGGUGCUAGCACCUCAGGUCUCCGGACCUGUACAGGUGUAAGCCCGGCGGAUACAAGACAGAGCUGUUGCAC
rnacentral:rRNA from 1 species